GUGGGGCCCGCGGCCUAUCAGCUUGUUGGUGAGGUAACGGCUCACCAAGGCGAUGACGGGUAGCUGGUCUGAGAGGACGACCAGCCACACUGGGACUGAGACACGGCCCAGACACCUACGGGUGGCAGCAGUCGAGAAUUUUUGACAAUGGGGGAAACCCUGAUCGAGCGACGCCGCGUGGAGGAUGAAGGUCUUCGGAUUGUAAACUCCUGUCAUUGGGGAACAAUGCGUGACGGUUAACUGCCGUCGCGUUGAUAGUACCCGAAGAGGAAGAGACGGCUAACUCUGUGCCAGCAGCCGCGGUAAUACAGAGGUCUCAAGCGUUGUUCGGAUUCAUUGGGCGUAAAGGGUGCGUAGGCGGCGCGGUAAGUCGGGUGUGAAAUCUCGGAGCUUAACUCCGAAACUGCAUUUGAUACUGCCGUGCUUGAGGACUGGAGAGGAGACUGGAAUUUACGGUGUAGCGGUGAAAUGCGUAGAUAUCGUAAGG
rnacentral:rRNA from 1 species